AAAUUGAAAAGGCAAACUUAUCGAAAGGUAAGGACGCAAAGCUACGAGUCUAAAAUCCUCCAGGGUAAUGACAGUCGGGUUGCCAAG
rnacentral:ncRNA from 1 species